rnacentral:rRNA from 1 species
GUCUGCGUGUGUUGUUAUAUGCAGUCUGGCCUGCCCACUGGAAGUUUGAAGGGCCGCGGUAUCCUGACCGUGCGAAGGUAGCAUAAUCAAUAGUGUUUUAAUUGAAGACUGGAAUGAAGGGUCGGACAAGGGGUAAGCUGUCUCUAAAAUAAAUCUUGAAGUUUACCUUUAAGUGAAAAGGCUUAAAUAAAGUAAAGGGACGAUAAGACCCUAUAAAACUUAACAAGUUAUACAGUCAUAUGUACGAAUUAACUUAGAGUGUAAACUUAUGGGUGUAUAAUUGUUUUGUUGGGGCGACAGAGAUAAAAUGAAUUAACUGUCUUUUUUAUUUUAAUAGUAAUAAUUAGAGAAGCUGAUCCUUUACUAGGGAUUAUAAGAUCAAGUUACUUUAGGGAUAACAGCGUAAUUUCUCUUGAGAGUCCUAAUCGACAGAGUUAGUUGCGACCUCGAUGUUGAAUUAAGAUGUUAUUCAGGCGCAGCAGUCUGAAUGGUAGGUCUGUUCGACCUUUAAAAUCUUACAUGAUUUGAGUUCAA